GCCCUCGUUGUCUAAUGGUUAUGACGUCAGACUUCUAAUCACGUGAUAAAAAUCUGGAGGUUGCGAGUUCGAGUCUCGCCGGGGGUA